UACUGGAGUGAUGGAGGUAGAUAUAUAUAGGGGUAAGGAGACAGGGAUACUGGAGUGAUGGAGGUAGAUAUGUAUAGGGGUAAGGAGACAGGGAUACUGGAGUGAUGGAGGUAGAUAUGUAUAGGGGUAAGGAGACAGGGAUACUGGAGUGAUGGAGGUAGAUAUGUAUAGGGGUAAGGAGACAGGGAUACUGGAGUGAUGGAGGUAGAUAUGUAUAGGGGUAAGGAGACAGGGAUACUGGAGUGAUGGAGGUAGAUAUGUAUGUUAGGUGACAGGGAUACUGGAGUGAUGGAGGUAGAUAUAUAUAGGGGUAAGGAGACAGGGAUACUGGAGUGAUGGAGGUAGAUAUGUAUAGGGGUAAGGAGACAGGGAUACUGGAGUGAUGGAGGUAGAUAUGUAUGUUAGGUGACAGGGAUACUGGAGUGAUGGAGGUAGAUAUGUAUAGGGGUAAGGAGACAGGGAUACUGGAGUGAUGGAGGUAGAUAUGUAUGUUAGGUGACAGGGAUACUGGAGUGAUGGAGGUAGAUAUGUAUAGGGGUAAGGAGACAGGGAUACUGGAGUGAUGGAGGUAGAUAUGUAUAGGGGUAAGGAGACAGGGAUACUGGAGUGAUGGAGGUAGAUAUAUAUAGGGGUAAGGAGACAGGGAUACUGGAGUGAUGGAGGUAGAUAUGUAUAGGGGUAAGGAGACAGGGAUACUGGAGUGAUGGAGGUAGAUAUGUAUAGGGGUAAGGAGACAGGGAUACUGGAGUGAUGGAGGUAGAUAUGUAUAGGGGUAAGGAGACAGGGAUACUGGAGUGAUGGAGGUAGAUAUGUAUGUUAGGUGACAGGGAUACUGGAGUGAUGGAGGUAGAUAUGUAUAGGGGUAAGGAGACAGGGAUACUGGAGUGAUGGAGGUAGAUAUGUAUGUUAGGUGACAGGGAUACUGGAGUGAUGGAGGUAGAUAUGUAUAGGGGUAAGGAGACAGGGAUACUGGAGUGAUGGAGGUAGAUAUAUAUAGGGGUAAGGAGACAGGGAUACUGGAGUGAUGGAGGUAGAUAUGUAUGUUAGGUGACAGGGAUACUGGAGUGAUGGAGGUAGAUAUGUAUGUUAGGUGACAGGGAUACUGGAGUGAUGGAGGUAGAUAUGUAUGUUAGGUGACAGGGAUACUGGAGUGAUGGAGGUAGAUAUGUAUGUUAGGUGACAGGGAUACUGGAGUG